GGUGCCGGUGCUCGGCGCGGUCUUCAACAUGGGCGACCUCGAGGGGUUCAACUCCU
rnacentral:tRNA from 15 species